UGGUGCUGGUUGUUGCCUGCACGUUGGCCGUACAGGUUUCAUCGCAGUAUCAGGAUGCAGGUGACCCAUCUCAUCCAGAGGCCGUAUCCAGAGUCGUGGAAAGACUAAUAUAUGUCCCCAUGGCGGAACUCCUCCCUUUGCGGAAAAGAGAUGCAGGCACGCAAAGUCCACAGCACGAAUCCGGCAUCGCGGAGAGACAAGCAGGACCACCCGAGAUGGAUUCCUCCAUGAUGCCAGGCAGCAACAUCAAUCGGAAUGAGGUCGUUGUGAGC